GACGAACGCUGGCGGCGUGCUUAACACAUGCAAGUCGAACGAUGAACCCGGAGCUUGCUCCGGUGGAUUAGUGGCGAACGGGUGAGUAACACGUGAGUAACCUGCCCUUGACUCUGGGAUAACUGCGGGAAACUGUAGCUAGUACUGGAUACGACCUACGAAGGCAUCUUCUGUAGGUGGAAAGAAUUUCGGUUCGGGAUGGACUCGCGGCCUAUCAGCUUGUUGGUGAGGUAAUGGCUCACCAAGGCGACGACGGGUAGCCGGCCUGUGAGGGUGACCAGCCACACUGGGACUGAGACACGGCCCAGACUCCUACGGGAGGCAGCAGUGGGGAAUAUUGCACAGUGGGCGCAAGCCUGAUGCAGCAACGCCGCGUGAGGGAUGAAGGCCUUCGGGUUGUAAACCUCUUUUAGCAGGGAAGGAGCGAAAGUGACGGUACCUGCAGAAAAAGCACCGGCUAACUACGUGCCAGCCGCCGCAGUAA
rnacentral:rRNA from 1 species